rnacentral:rRNA from 1 species
UGGGGAAUUUUGGACAAUGGGCGAAAGCCUGAUCCAGCAAUGCCGCGGGUGUGAAGAAGGCCUUCGGGUUGUAAAGCACUUUUGUCCGGAAAGAAAUGGCUCUGGUUAAUACCUGGGGUCGAUGACGGUACCGGAAGAAUAAGGACCGGCUAACUACGUGCCAGCAGCCGCGGUAAUACGUAGGGUCCAAGCGUUAAUCGGAAUUACUGGGCGUAAAGCGUGCGCAGGCGGUUGUGCAAGACCGAUGUGAAAUCCCCGAGCUUAACUUGGGAAUUGCAUUGGUGACUGCACGGCUAGAGUGUGUCAGAGGGGGGUAGAAUUCCACGUGUAGCAGUGAAAUGCGUAGAGAUGUGGAGGAAUACCGAUGGCGAAGGCAGCCCCCUGGGAUAACACUGACGCUCAUGCACGAAAGCGUGGGGAGCAAACAGG